AUGGAGACAUAUACAGUUGUAGAUUUGGUCACUUUUUUCUUUGCUGAUUGGUUAUUUAUAUUUGACAUGCUUAUUCCGCAUGGGGUUAGUCAGACCAUCUCUAAGAUUGCAGGGGAGCUAAUACAACGACCUUAUGCAGAAUAUAGGACACAAUCAAGCUCUUUAGCUAAUCUUGCUUGGCUGUAUGGAUUAAUUUCAUGUGGUAAAUUAACUAUUCUGAAAAUGAAAGCUGCAGACCUUGUCAUCAGCAAAAAAAGGUGUUUUGUGAAUGGAAGCAGUGGGUUGAAGUUUAUCUGGAGCAGGGCAUUGUGGCACACCGUGCACUGUCCUAUUCAUCAUUUCAGAGGGUGCCAUCUUGAUGUCUGCAUUCACCCACACCGCCUACUUUGUCUUAGAUCUCCAAUGAAUUGGUAUACUCCAUAUAUUACUGAUGUCCACAGUUUGGCGAAUUUUGAAAAAUGUUAA
rnacentral:rRNA from 1 species